rnacentral:rRNA from 1 species
UGGGGAAUAUUGGACAAUGGGCGCAAGCCUGAUCCAGCCAUGCCGCGUGAGUGAUGAAGGCCCUAGGGUUGUAAAGCUCUUUCACCGGUGAAGAUAAUGACGGUAACCGGAGAAGAAGCCCCGGCUAACUUCGUGCCAGCAGCCGCGGUAAUACGAAGGGGGCUAGCGUUGUUCGGAUUUACUGGGCGAAAAGCGCACGUAGGCGGACUUUUAAGUCAGGGGUGAAAUCCCGGGGCUCAACCCCGGAACUGCCUUUGAUACUGGAAGUCUUGAGUAUGGUAGAGGUGAGUGGAAUUCCGAGUGUAGAGGUGAAAUUCGUAGAUAUUCGGAGGAACACCAGUGGCGAAGGCGGCUCACUGGACCAUUACUGACGCUGAGGUGCGAAAGCGUGGGGAGCAAACAGG